GUGACUGCGUACCUUUUGUAUAAUGGGUCAGCGACUUAUAUUCUGUAGCAAGGUUAACCGAAUAGGGGAGCCGGAGGGAAACCGAGUCUUAAUUGGGCGUUAAGUUGCAGGGUAUAGACCCGAAACCCGGUGAUCUAGCCAUGGGCAGGUUGAAGGUUGGGUAACACUAACUGGAGGACCGAACCGACUAAUGUUGAAAAAUUAGCGGAUGACCUGUGGCUGGGGGUGAAAGGCCAAUCAAACCGGGAGAUAGCUGGUUCUCCCCGAAAGCUAUUUAGGUAGCGCCUCGUGAAUUCAUCUCCGGGGGUAGAGCACUGUUUCGGCCAGGGGGCCAUCCCGGCUUACCAACCCGAUGCAAACUGCGAAUACCGGAGAAUGUUAUCACGGGAGACACACGGCGGGUGCUAACGUCCGUCGUGAAGAGGGAAACAACCCAGACCGCCAGCUAAGGUCCCAAAGUCAUGGUUAAGUGGGAAACGAUGUGGGAAGGCCCAGACAGCCAGGAUGUUGGCUUAGAAGCAGCCAUCAUUUAAAGAAAGCGUAAUAGCUCACUGGUCGAGUCGGCCUGCGCGGAAGAUGUAACGGGGCUAAACCAUGCACCGAAGCUGCGGCAGCGA
rnacentral:rRNA from 1 species